UACGUAGGGUGCGAGCGUUGUCCGGAAUUACUGGGCGUAAAGAGCUCGUAGGCGGUUUGGUAAGUCAGGUGUGAAACCUCCACGCUCAACGUGGAGGGGCCACCUGAUACUGCCAUGACUGGAGUCCGGUAGAGGAGUGUGGAAUUCCCGGUGUAGCGGUGAAAUGCGCAGAUAUCAGGAAGAACACCCGUGGCGAAGGCGGCUCUCUGGGACGGUACUGACGCUGAGACGCGAAAGCGUGGGGAGCGAACAGG
rnacentral:rRNA from 1 species